rnacentral:tRNA from 1 species
GAGAUAUAGUUCAAUUGGUUAGAGCACUGCCCUGUCACGGCAGAAGUUGCGGGUUCGAGUCCCGUUAUCUCC